rnacentral:misc_RNA from 1 species
AAGUGUUGAACCUUUCCCACAACAGUUUGACAGGACCUAUUCCAUCAACAUUCUCAAAACUGAGUGAAAUUCGCAGCUUGGAUCUUUCCUACAAUCACUUGGAUGGGAAAAUUCCUCCGGAGCUUACUCAACUUUCUUUACUUGCCUUCAGUGUCGCUCAUAACAAUUUAUCUGGACCAACACCUGCAAAUUUUUUGACUUUUGAUGAGAGUAGUUACGAAGGAAAUCCUUUGCUUUGUGGACCACCACUACCUAAGAGUUGCGAUGCGACGACAAUAUCAACUGAUGUUAGAGAGGAGAGUGGCUUCAUAGACAAAGGUGUUUUCUAUGUGAGCUUUCUGGUGACUUACAUCAUGGUAUUGCUGGCAAUUGUUGCAGUAUUUUACAUAAACCCAUAUUGGCGACGAGCAUGGUUUACCUUCAUUGAGGUGAAAAUCAUCGAUUGCCAAUAUUUUCUGGAAGACAA